rnacentral:rRNA from 1 species
CGGCAACAGCUCAAAUUUGAAAUCUGGCCUCGGCCCGAGUUGUAAUUUGUAGAGGAAGCUUCUGGUGCGGCACCGGCUGAGUCCCCUGGAACGGGGCGCCAUAGAGGGUGAGAGCCCCGUAUAGCCGGCUGCCUAGCCUGUGUGAAGCUCCUUCGAC